rnacentral:rRNA from 1 species
CUGGCGGCGUGCCUAACUCAUGCAAGUCGAACGAGAAAGUGGAGCAAUCCAUGAGUAAAGUGGCGACCGGGUGAGUAACACGUGACUAACCUGCCUUCGAGUGGGGGAUAACCUCGGGAAACCGGGGCUAAUACCGCAUAAUGCCGAGAGGUUAAAGGAGCAAUUCGCUUGAAGAGGGGGUCGCGGCUGAUUAGCUAGUUGGCGGGGUAACGGCCCACCAAGGCGAUGAUCGGUAGCCGGCCUGAGAGGGCGCACGGCCACACUGGAACUGAAACACGGUCCAGACUCCUACGGGAGGCAGCAGUGGGGAAUUUUGCGCAAUGGGGGAAACCCUGACGCAGCAACGCCGCGUGGAGGAUGAAGUCCUUUGGGACGUAAACUCCUUUCGACCGGGACGAUAAUGACGGUACCGGUGGAAGAAGCCCCGGCUAACUUCGUGCCAGCAGCCGCGGUAAUACGAGGGGGGCAAGCGUUGUUCGGAAUUAUUGGGCGUAAAGGGCGCGUANGCGGUGCGGUAAGUCACCUGUGAAACCUCUGGGCUUAACUCAGAGCCUGCAGGCGAAAC